CAGACCCCUUUCCUUUCCUUCAACUCAGGAUAGUAUCAAGAUAUCAGCCUCAGUCCUCUGGUUGCUUUUUGAGUCUCAUGUUGUGGGGCUCCUGUACAUAUAUAAUUUUUUUUCUCCAUUAAAUCUCAUUUUAUAGAGGUCUCAGCCAAGAACUCAGAGCAAUAGAUAGACCAUUAUUUUUCCGCCACUACAGGGCAGAUGAGUGAAGGAUGAUCCUUGGAGGCUUCCAGUGACCUUUGUCUAGUGUGGUAUUCCAGGACUGCCAACCUGCCGAACAGCCUCUGCAGAAACUCCGUGCACCCUUCUGUUGAGCACUCUGAGGAAGUAACAGUCUUCAGGCAGGAUCAAAAAUGGGAUUCCAUAUUACCUGCAAGCAUAAAAGCCCUAAAGACAGAAAAUGAGAAGUUAUUUAUUGUGUCACUAAUAUGUCUGCAACUAGAAGAGUCUGAGGAAAGAGCAGAAAAAACAAAUAGUAAAUCUUGUUCUGAUACAAGGGAUUAGAUCUGAUAGAGUGCCUGAAGAACUAUGGAUGGAGGUUCAUGACAUUGUACAUGAGGCAGUGAUCAAG
rnacentral:lncRNA from 1 species